AGUGAACGCUGGCGGUAGGCCUAACACAUGCAAGUCGAACGGCAGCACAGGAGAGCUUGCUCUCUGGGUGGCGAGUGGCGGACGGGUGAGGAAUACAUCGGAAUCUACUUUUUCGUGGGGGAUAACGUAGGGAAACUUACGCUAAUACCGCAUACUACCUACGGGUGAAAGCAGGGAAACUUCGGAACUUGCGCGAGUGAAUGAGCCGAGAGCGGAUUAGCAGGUUGGCAGGGUAAAGGCCCACCAAGGCGACGAUCCGUAGCUGAACUGGGAGGAAGAUCAGCCACCGUGGAAGUGGAACGCAGUCCAGACUCCUACGGGGGGAAGCAGUUGGUGAUAUUGGACAAAUGGCUGAAUCCUGAUCCAACCAUACCGAGAGGGUGAAAAAAGCUUUCGGGUUGUAAAGCCCUUUUGUUGGGAAAGAAAUCCAGCUGGGUAAUACCCGGUUGGGAUGACGGUACCUAAAGAAUAAGCACCGGCUAACUUCGUGCCAGCCGCCGCCGUAACAC
rnacentral:rRNA from 1 species